GUGAACUCCAUUGAUUGCACAAGGAUUUACUCUGCUGAGAGUUAACUUAUAAUGUUCCAAGAAAUCAGACUAUUCUCAAAUGUACAUUUGAAAGGGUAGACUGUGGAAAUCUAUAAAAGGAAAUCCUGGUGGAUACAACUCUGAUUUGCACAUACAAUUUAAAAAAUCUCAUUGUAGUGCUCUUGAUGGUACAACUUAUUUGAAAUGAGACUACACACUUUUGAACAAUGAGGUUCGCAUUUUGGACAUGCCAUUUUCCCACCAGCCAUGUUAGCAAUGAGGAAUGAGAAUGCACAGUCACAAGCCAUCCAUAAUCUGGUAACCUCCAGCUUUGAGAUUGUUCCUACUUUUACCAAAAGAAAGAUAAUUGUACACAUGUCAGAGGAUAGAGAAGUACUUUGAAAGAAUGAAAACCCCUUAAAAAAAAGAAAGAAAUGGCCACUUAGGAUGUGAAGAAAUUCUCCAUAAUGGACCACGAAUGAUCAAACUGAGAGAAUGUCCCUUGGAAGUGUUUGAUAGUUUAAGCAGGAAACAGGUACUUUGGGCUGCAUAUUGCUACCAUUUUAGGCAAACCUUUCUCUUGGAUUAUCUGGGGCACUAUUUUCUUCAAUGCAUUAGAUUUUUGGUGCAUAAAGGUAAAAGUUUGAAAUGUGAA